rnacentral:rRNA from 1 species
GUUUCAUUUAAAUUUAAAUUAAAAUUUUAUUUUUUAGUUAAAAAGCUAAAAUUUUAUUAAAAGACGAGAAGACCCUAUAAAUCUUUAUAUUUAUAUUUAUUUUAAUUUUUUAAGAUUAAUUUUAUUAUAAUAAGUUUAGAUAUUUUAUUGGGGUGAUAUUAAAAUUUAAUUAACUUUUAAUUGUUAUAAUUACAUUAAUUUAUGAUUUAUUGAUCCAUUAGUAAUGAUUAUAAAAUUAAGUUACUUUAGGGAUAACAGCGUAAUUUUUUUGGAGAGUUCUUAUCGAUAAAAAAGUUUGCGACCUCGAUGUUGGAUUAAGAGAUAUUUUUAAUGCAGAAGUUAAAAUAUAAAGUCUGUUCGACUUUUAAAUUCUUACAUGAUCUGAGUUCAAACCGGUGUGAGCCAGGUUGGUUUCUAUCUUUAAUUUAGUAUAAUAUUUUAGUACGAAAGGAAUUUAUAUUAAAAAUAAUUUUUAACAAUUGAAU